GACGAACGCUGGCGGCGUGCUUAACACAUGCAAGUCGAACGGGAAUGCCCUGCGUUUUCGGGGUCCUCGGGUGGCGAACGGGUGGGUAACACGUGUGUAACCUGCCCUUGGCUUUGGGAUAACUUCAGGAAACCGGGGCGAAUACCGGAUAGGAGCUCCUGCUGCAUGGGGGGGGUUGGAACGUUUCGGCGGUUGGGUAUGGACUCGCGGCUCAUCCGCUUGUUGGGGGGGUAGUGUCUUACCAAGGCUUUGACGGGUAGCCUGCCUGAGCGGGGAACCGGCCACACUGGGACGGAGAUACGGCACAGACCAGUCUGGGACGGAGCAGUGGGGAAGAGUGCACUAGGGGAGGAAGCCUGGUGCAAUAAAGCCGCGCGGGGUAUGACGGCAAGCGGGUUGGAAACCGCUUUCGUCUGGGCCGAAGCGUGAGUGACGGUAAUGGGUAAAGAAGCCCCGGCUAACUACGUG
rnacentral:rRNA from 1 species